AUUGAACGCUGGCGGCAGGCCUAACACAUGCAAGUCGAGCGGAGCGGCGGACGGGUGAGUAAUGUCUGGGAAACUGCCUGAUGUAGGGGGAUAACUACUGGAAACGGUAGCUAAUACCGCAUACUCAUAGAUGAGCCUAAGUCGGAUUAGGUAGUUGGUGGGGUAAAGUCCUACCAAGGCGACGAUCUGUAGCGGGUCUGAGAGGAUGAUCCGCCAAACUGGGACGUAGACACGGCCCAGACUCCUACUGGAGGCAGCAGUGGGGAAUAUUGGACAAUGGGGGUAACGCUGAUCCAGCCAUGCCGCGUGUGUGAAGAAGGCCUUAUGGUUGUAAAGCACUUUAAGCGAGGAGGCGUUACUCGCAGAAUAAGCACCGGCUAACUCUGUGCCAGCAGCCGCGGUAAUAC
rnacentral:rRNA from 1 species